CUAUAGACUUGAUUGUAUUGAGCCUUGCUUUGGAAACCUGCUAAGUGGUAACUUCCAAAUUCAGAGAAACCCUGGAAUGAAAAAUGGUCAAUCCUGAGCAAAAUCCCUGUUUUGGAAAAUAAGUGGUUCUCAAACUAGAAACAAAGGAAAAGGAUAAGUGCAGAGACUCAAUGGAAGCUGUUCUAACGAAUCAAAGUAAUAACGAUUAAUCACAGAACCCAUAUUAUAAUAUAGGUUCUUUAUUUUAUUUUUAGAAUGAAAUUAGGAAUGAUUAUGAAAUAGAAAAAUCAUAAUUUUUUUAGAAUUAUUGUGAAUCUAUUCCAAUCAAAUAUUGAGUAAUCAAAUCCUUCAAUUCAUUGUUUUCUAUAUCUUUUAAUUUUUAAAUGUGGAUUAAUCGGACGAGGAUAAAGAGAGAGUCCCAUUCUACAUGUCAAUACUGA
rnacentral:ncRNA from 1 species